GGACUACUGGGGUAUCUAAUCCCGUUUGCUCCCCUAGCCUUCGUGCAUGAGCGUCAGGAACUGCCCAGAGAUUCGCCUUCGCCACUGGUCUUCCUCACGAUAUCUACGCAUUUCACUGCUACACCGUGAAUUCCAAUCUCCUCUACAGUCCUCUAGCAUGGCAGUAUCAAGUGCAGUUUAGAAGUUGAGCCUCUAAAUUUCACACCUGACUUACCACACAGCCUGCGCACCCUUUACGCCCAAUGAAUCCGAACAACGCUUGAGACCUCUGUAUUACCGCGGCUGCUGGCAC
rnacentral:rRNA from 1 species